AUCAUUGUCCUAGAUAUAAUCCAGAAGUGAAACUGAUAAAAAGAUGCAAAUCAACAUAUGUUGAUUCAGAUUUUUGUUUUAUUUUCUUAUUAGGAUGACAGAUAUAAUGAACAACCCUGAACACAGUCGAGAAGACUUCACUGUGAGCGACAGCGGAGAGCAAGGUGUUUCAUUGCAGAUAUUUCCAGACACACAGGAACGCCACCCCAAGCUGUCCAAGCGUCUGCCCUCCAUCGUGGUGGAUCCCACAGAUGGAGGAGAGGUGGAGAGCGGAGAGUUACGUUGGCCUCCGGAUGACCAGAUGACCACAGAGCCUUCAGGCCCAACGCACACAUCUCAAGAGAUCGCGUCUGCCUCACAAACCCAGAUCUCACACAGCCAGAGCGCAGGUGUGUAAGAGGAAUAUGCAUUUUGCAACACUUUCAGCAUUGACCCAUAACUACGAUGUGCCUAAAGGGGAACGAGUAAAUAUAUGCUGCUUAAAUGUGUUUCAGUUUAGAGAAGUGCAUUUAUAAAUGACUAUGCAUGCAUUUUCCCCCCUCAGAUGAAGCCAAGUGCAGCAGCCUGGAAACAUCAGGGGCAGCUGAGCGUAACUGAAAUUUUUAUAAAUAUGUUGUUGCGAGUCUGUCAUUAUCACAAGUCUCAGUUCUCACAAACUGUUCACACUUAGAAAGAAAGACACAAACACACUGACAAGCAGCCAAUCUGCCAGGAAGGUGCAAAUAAGAUCAGAGCUCGCGAUGCUAUAUCUGAGCACCUUUUGUAAAGCGCUCGAGGCUUUGAAAAAGACUUUCAAAAGUCUUUCGUACUUUUUCAAAUGAAGCUCUUGUUACAUUUUAGCUGUGGUUUUAGCAACAUUCUCACAAUGCAUUUAAGUUUUAAAGCCUGAAUUAUGAAAUUAGGAAGCUGUUACUGUAUCUUUCCACACUGUCAAAAGCGAUUACUUUACUUUACUUAAAAAAAAAGGGAGUAAAUGUGUUGCCUUAAAAGCAACAAAUCGAUUUAACUUUGGACGGUGGAUCAGUAGUUAGCAUUGUCGCCUCUCAGCAAAAAGGUUGCUGGUUCAAGUCC
rnacentral:lncRNA from 1 species